rnacentral:rRNA from 1 species
UACAGGGGGCGCGAGCGUUGCUCGGAAUCACUGGGCGUAAAGCGCACGUAGGCGGAUUGCUAAGUCAGGGGUGAAAUCCUGGAGCUCAACUCCAGAACUGCCUUUGAUACUGGCGACCUUGAGUCCGGGAGAGGUGAGUGGAACUGCGAGUGUAGAGGUGAAAUCCGUAGAUAUUCACAAGAACACCAGUGGCGAAGGCGGCUCACUGGCCCGGUACUGACGCUGAGGUGCGAAAGCGUGGGGAGCAAACAGG